CCUCGUGUUCCCUCGACAAUGACAGAGAUCGUAUUUGACUCCGUUCCGACCGAAGCGAACACCACCGACCACGACGGUUUCCGAUUGGUUUCUAUGAUGCUUGUCGACGGUGAUUCCGGCGAAUACGGACCUGCACAGGGACACCAACAGACUUUCGAACGAAAGAUAAGUUUCUGAAACCCUAAUCUCUGAUUCGAUUUGUAUCUUGCUAGGGAUUUGUGUUUAGGGUUUAUAUUUGGUUGAUUUUAGGUUCAAUCUUGCGCAGUUUAUUUACGAGUUGAGAUUCCGAUGCGGAAUCCUAUCUAUCGCUAGAUUUCGGUUUCUUUUACACCAAGGAAUAAAAUUCGGUUCCUCCAUUGGCUCACUAUGCAAACAGAGUCGAAGACUAAGACCUAACUGUUUGUGUUCCAAUGAACUAACGUGUUCUUGAAGAACCCCUACAGAAUCCCUUGGUCUGUAUAUCUUGUACUGUUCAAUAUUUAUUUUAUAACUUCAUCGAUUCUCUCUGUAUAGUGAUUCGUUCUAUCACUUGAGUUUACGAUAUAUGUAUAUGCACAUCCUUUCCUGAAAUGUGGAAAUGUGUGAAACUUUGAAUUUUACCCAUAAAAUUCCAAAACGUGUUUUAGGAAAUUUACAUCCGAUUUCGUUUAGUGCCUCCAAAGCAUAAUACUCGUUGAAAAGUCAAAUGUAGUCGGAGUCUCUCUCUCUCUCUCUCUCUCUAUAUGUAUAUGUAUAUAUAAUAUAACACGAACGCGAUAUAGAUGUCACGAAGAAGAAGAAUGGGUAGAGAGAGAUCACGCGAUGCUCUCGUGUUAACGUGGACUCUGCUUCUUGUAUUUCUUUCCUCUCAAUCUGGAUUCAUCGAGGCUACACACCGUCAACUAGGGUCUUCCUCUCAAGUUGGAAUAAUGGAGGCCACGGACCGUGAACUAGGUUCGUUACGGCGUAAGUUAGUCCCUAUAGGAACCCCACCCUCGAGAUCAAAACGUGGACGAGGACCGUAAGAAUAAUAUAUAUACGCUGAUGAUAUUUCAUGUCUAAGAAUGACGCAAAUGGUCAUGGACUUCGCGUGUUUAUAUACGAAUAAUGUUUUCAUGGAAUGCUGGCUUUAUAACUUUUAUAUUAUAUUUUCUCCUAUUUUGUUUA